rnacentral:misc_RNA from 1 species
UCCGGCUUAACGCCGGCAGUCUCCCUAGAGUGCCCAACUUAAUGGUGGCAACUAAGGACGAGGGUUGCGCUCGUUGCGGGACUUAACCCAACACCUCACGACACGAGCUGACGACAGCCAUGCAGCACCUGUGUGCAGGUCCCCGAAGGGAAGGAAUCCAUCUCUGGAAACCGUCCUGCCAUGUCAAGGGCUGGUAAGGUUCUGCGCGUUGCUUCGAAUUGAACCACAUGCUCCACCGCUUGUGCGGGCCCCCGUCAAUUCCUUUGAGUUUUAACCUUGCGGCCGUAGUCCCCAGGCGGGGCACUUAAUGCGUUAGCUACGGCGCGGAAAACGUGGAAUGUCCCCCACACCUAGUGCCCAACGUUUACGGCAUGGACUAC